CAGAGGUCCCGAGCGUUGUUCGGAUUCACUGGGCGUAAAGGGUGCGUAGGCGGUCGGGUAAGUCUGAUGUGAAAUCUCAGAGCUCAACUCUGAAACUGCAUUGGAUACUAUUCGGCUUGAGGUCUGGAGGGGGGACUGGAAUUCUCGGUGUAGCCGUGAAAUGCGUAGAUAUCGAGAGGAACACCAGUGGCGAAGGCGAGUCCCUGGACAGGUCCUGACGCUGAGGCACGAAAGCUAGGGGAGCAAACAGGAUUAGAUACCCUGGUAGUCCUAGCCGUAAACGGUGCGUAUUUGCUGUAAAAGGAAUCGACCCCUUUUGUGGCGUAGCAAACGCGUUAAAUACGCCGCCUGGGAAGUACGGUCGCAAGAUUA
rnacentral:rRNA from 1 species